GGAGGAGGGGAAGUCGAGGCAGGGGGGGCGGAGUCAGCAGGGGCGGUCCCGCUGCCGGAAGAGAGAGGGCCCCCGGACUCUGGAGGGCUGUGGGUGGCGGGCGGCGGCAGCAGCAACAGCAGUAGCAGCAGUGGGGUUCGCUGAUUCCGAAGCUGUCACCUGCCUGCGGUGUUAUUUACAACAACAAAGCUGAUGCACACAAAAGAAGCUGGAGAAAAGCCGGAGAGACCAGAAACAAUUUCGAUUUUUGUUUCUCUGGACAACAGACACAGAGAGACCCCGGAAGAGGAAUUUUAUUUCCUUCUCUGUAGUAUCUGGCAGAUGAAUUUAUCAGAAAAAAAAAAAAAAUGGCCACUUGGCCUAGAAGGCCAAGAGGGAUUGAAAAUGGCUUCCUGCCAUUAGCUCCAGCUCCGGAAGAACGCAUGCGCCAAUUAGAGCAUCAAAGCCCUCUCUGCAGAGCUCGUUUCCAUAAAAUGGAGCGGAUCGCAAACAAUAACAGUUCUCCAGAAACUGCCUCCCUGCUACAGGACUCAACCCCCAAGCCCAUACACUCGCUCACACUGCUCACACUAUACCCGAAUCCACUACUGCCACUGCUAUCAUUUCCUUUGCAUGUAAUUCUCGGGG